GAUGAACGCUGGCGGCGUGCCUAAUACAUGCAAGUCGAGCGAACGGACGAGAAGCUUGCUUUUCUGAUGUUAGCGGCGGACGGGUGAGUAACACGUGGAUAACCUACCUAUAAGACUGGGAUAACUUCGGGAAACCGGAGCUAAUACCGGAUAAUAUUUUGAACCGCAUGGUUCAAAAGUGAAAGACGGUCUUGCUGUCACUUAUAGAUGGAUCCGCGCUGCAUUAGCAAGUUGGUAAGGUAACGGCUUACCAAGGCAACGAUGCAUAGCCGACCUGAGAGGGUGAUCGGCCACACUGGAACUGAGACACGGUCCAGACUCCUACGGGAGGCAGCAGUAGGGAAUCUUCCGCAAUGGGCGAAAGCCUGACGGAGCAACGCCGCGUGAGUGAUGAAGGUCUUCGGAUCGUAAAACUCUGUUAUUAGGGAAGAACAUAUGUGUAAGUAACUGUGCACAUCUUGACAGUACCUAAUCAGAAAGCCACGGCUAACUACGUG
rnacentral:rRNA from 1 species